rnacentral:rRNA from 1 species
UACGUAGGGGGCGAGCGUUGUCCGGAUUUAUUGGGCGUAAAGAGCUCGUAGGCGGCUAAGCAAGUCGGGUGGGAAAUCUCCAGGCUCAACCUGGAGCCUUCGCCCGAUACUGCUUUGGCUUGAGUCCGGUAGGGGAGUGUGGAAUUCCCGGUGUAGCGGUGAAAUGCGUAGAGAUUGGAAAGAACACCGAUGGCGAAGGCACUUUACUGGGCUAUUACUAACACUCAGAGACGAAAGCUAGGGUAGCAAAUGGG